rnacentral:rRNA from 1 species
AUGGCUCAGGAUGAACGCUAGCGGCAGGCUUAACACAUGCAAGUCGAGGGGCAUCGGGAGUAGCAAUACUGCCGGCGACCGGCGCAAGGGUGCGUAACGCGUGAGCAACAUGCCCGUAUCAGGGGGGAUAAUCCAUGGAAACGUGGUCUAAUACCCCAUAGUAAUUAUGUAAGGCAUCUUAUAUAAUUUUAAAGCUUUGGUGGAUACGGAUUGGCUCGCGUGAACAUUAGCUGGAUGGUAAGGUAACGGCUUACCAUGGCUACGAUGUCUAGGGGUUCUGAGAGGAAGGUCCCCCACACUGGAACUGAGACACGGUCCAGACUCCUACGGGAGGCAGCAGUGAGGAAUAUUGGACAAUGGAUGGAAAUCUGAUCCAGCCAUGCCGCGUGCAAGGAAGACGGCCCUAUGGGUUGUAAACUGCUUUUGUAUGGGAGCAAUAAGGGCUACGUGUAGUCCGAUGAGAGUACCAUACGAAUAAGCACCGGCUAACUCCGUGCCAGCCGCAGC